AUCUUCGGAUGUGAGUACAGUGGCGGACGGGUGAGUAAUACAUAGGAAUCUACCCAAUGGUGGGGGAUAGCUCGGGGAAACUCGAAUUAAUACCGCAUAAUCUCUACGGAGUAAAGGGGGCUUCGGCUCUCGCCAUCGGAUGAGCCUAUGCAGGAUUAGCUUGUUGGUGAGGUAAUGGCUUACCAAGGCAACGAUCCUUAGCUGGUUUGAGAGGAUGACCAGCCACAUCGGGACUGAGACACGGCCCGGACUUCUACGGAAGGCAGCAGUAGGGAAUAUUGGACAAUGAGCGAAAGCUUGAUCCAGCCAUGCCGCGUGUGUGAUGACGGCCUUCGGGUUGUAAAGCACUUUAGGUAAUGAGGAAAAAUUAGAUGUUAAUACCACCUAAUCAUGACGUUAAUUACAGAAUAAGCACCGGCUAAAUCCGUGCCAGCAGCCGCGGUAAUACGGAUGGUGCAAGCGUUAAUCGGAAUUACUGGGCGUAAAGCGCGCGUAGGUGGCACACCAAGUUAGAUGUGAAAUCCCAGGGCUUAACCUUGGAACUGCAUCUAAAACUGGUGAGCUAGAGUAUUAGAGAGGAAAGUAGAAUUCUUAGUGUAGCGGUGGAAUGCGUAGAUAUUAAGAGGAAUACCAAUGGCGAAGGCAACUUU
rnacentral:rRNA from 1 species